GUUUCCUGAGAAAAUUACUCAGGCUGAUAUUCAGUUGGUUUUGUUUCAGGAUAGUGCAUACUAUCUCUCUCCUUAUGCAGUAAAGUUUCAGUCACUUAGCAUUAAGCUACCUGAUGCGAGAAUUGAGUCAUAUACGAAAAUUGAGAAUACUAAGAUUCAUGGCUCAGAGAUCAAAUAUGGUCCAUAUGAAAAUCUCCAUCCUUUCUCAUACUCACCUUUAGUUGUACAUUUUGAAAUCAAUCAGCCAUUUGCUGUUGCUCAGGAGUUAGUGCGAGAGAUAGAAGUUUCACAUUGGGGAAAUGUGCAGGUCACAGAACAUUACAACAUUGUCCAUGAAGGUGCAAAAAGCGAG
rnacentral:misc_RNA from 1 species